CAAGCCUGAUGGAGCAACACCGCGUGAGUGAAGAAGGGUUUCGGCUCGUAAAGCUCUGUUGUUAGAGAAGAACACGUAUGAGAGUAACUGUUCAUACGUUGACGGUAUUUAACCAGAAAGUCACGGCUAACUACGUGCCAGCAGCCGCGGUAAUACGUAGGUGGCAAGCGUUAUCCGGAUUUAUUGGGCGUAAAGAGAGUGCAGGCGGUUUUCUAAGUCUGAUGUGAAAGCCUUCGGCUUAACCGGAGAAGUGCAUCGGAAACUGGAUAACUUGAGUGCAGAAGAGGGUAGUGGAACUCCAUGUGUAGCGGUGGAAUGCGUAGAUAUAUGGAAGAACACCAGUGGCGAAGGCGGCUACCUGGUCUGCAACUGACGCUGAGACUCGAAAGCAUGGGUAGCGAACAGGAUUAGAUACCCUGGUAGUCCAUGCCGUAAACGAUGAGUGCUAGGUGUUGGAGGGUUUCCGCCCUUCAGUGCCGGAGCUAACGCAUUAAGCACUCCGCCUGGGGAGUACGACCGCAAGGUUGAAACUCAAAGGAAUUGACGGGGGCCCGCACAAGCGGUGGAGCAUGUGGUUUAAUUCGAAGCUACGCGAAGAACCUUACCAGGUCUUGACAUCUUGCGCC
rnacentral:rRNA from 2 species